rnacentral:rRNA from 1 species
UAGGGAAUCUUCGGCAAUGGACGAAAGUCUGACCGAGCAACGCCGCGUGAGUGAAGAAGGUUUUCGGAUCGUAAAACUCUGUUGUUAGAGAAGAACAAGGACGUUAGUAACUGAACGUCCCCUGACGGUAUCUAACCAGAAAGCCACGGCUAACUACGUGCCAGCAGCCGCGGUAAUACGUAGGUGGCAAGCGUUGUCCGGAUUUAUUGGGCGUAAAGCGAGCGCAGGCGGUUUCUUAAGUCUGAUGUGAAAGCCCCCGGCUCAACCGGGGAGGGUCAUUGGAAAGUGGGAGACUUGAGUGCAGAAGGGGGGAGUGGAAUUCCAUGUGUAGCGGUGAAAUGCGUAGAUAUAUGGGGGAACACCAGUGGCGAAGGCGGCUCUCUGGUCUGUAACUGACGCUGAGGCUCGAAAGCGUGGGGAGCAAACAGG